CCUACGGGCAGCAGCAGUGAGGAAUAUUGGUCAAUGGACGAGAGUCUGAACCAGCCAAGCCGCGUGAAGGAUGACGGCCCUAUGGGUUGUAAACUUCUUUUAUACGAGAAUAAAAUUUUCUACGUGUAGGAAUUUGUAUGUACCAUAUGAAUAAGGAUCGGCUAACUCCGUGCCAGCAGCCGCGGUAAUACGGAGGAUCCGAGCGUUAUCCGGAUUUAUUGGGUUUAAAGGGUGCGUAGGUGGUUUGUUAAGUCAGUUGUGAAAGUUUGCGGCUCAACCGUAUAAUUGCAGUUGAUACUGUCAGUCUUGAGUGCAGUAGAGGUAGGCGGAAUUCGUGGUGUAGCGGUGAAAUGCUUAGAUAUCACGAAGAACACCGAUUGCGAAGGCAGCUCACUAGACUGCAACUGACGCUGAGGCUCGAAAGUGUGGGUAUCAAACAGGAUUAGAUACCCUGGUAGUC
rnacentral:rRNA from 1 species